rnacentral:rRNA from 1 species
UACGUAGGGGGCAAGCGUUGUCCGGAUUUAUUGGGCGUAAAGCGCGUGUAGGCGGCUGGGUAGGUCCGCUGUGAAAACUCGAGGCUCAACCUCGAGACGUCGGCGGAAACCAUCCAGCUAGAGUCCGGAAGAGGAGAGUGGAAUUCCUGGUGUAGCGGUGAAAUGCGCAGAUAUCAGGAAGAACACCCGUGGCGAAAGCGGCUCUCUGGGACGGUACUGACGCUGAGACGCGAAGGCCAGGGGAGCAAACGGG